rnacentral:rRNA from 1 species
AUGCAAGUCGAACGGUGAAGCCCCGCUUGCGGGGUGGAUCASUGGCGAACGGGUGAGUAACACGUGAGCAACCUGCCCCUGACUCUGGGAUAAGCGCUGGAAACGGCGUCUAAUACUGGAUACGAGACGUGAUCGCAUGGUCAACGUUUGGAAAGAUUUUUCGGUUGGGGAUGGGCUCGCGGCCUAUCAGCUUGUUGGUGAGGUAAUGGCUCACCAAGGCGUCGACGGGUAGCCGGCCUGAGAGGGUGACCGGCCACACUGGGACUGAGACACGGCCCAGACUCCUACGGGAGGCAGCAGUGGGGAAUAUUGCACAAUGGGCGCAAGCCUGAUGCAGCAACGCCGCGUGAGGGAUGACGGCCUUCGGGUUGUAAACCUCUUUUAGCAGGGAAGAAGCGAGAGUGACGGUACCUG